rnacentral:rRNA from 1 species
AGUGAACGCUGGCGGUAGGCCUAACACAUGCAAGUCGAACGGCAGCACAGUAAGAGCUUGCUCUUACGGGUGGCGAGUGGCGGACGGGUGAGGAAUACAUCGGAAUCUACUUUUUCGUGGGGGAUAACGUAGGGAAACUUACGCUAAUACCGCAUACGACCUACGGGUGAAAGCAGGGGAUCUUCGGACCUUGCGCGAUUGAAUGAGCCGAUGUCGGAUUAGCUAGUUGGCGGGGUAAAGGCCCACCAAGGCGACGAUCCGUAGCUGGUCUGAGAGGAUGAUCAGCCACACUGGAGCUGAGACACGGUCCAGACUCCUACGGGAGGCAGCAGUGGGGAAUAUUGGACAAUGGGCGCAAGCCUGAUCCAGCCAUACCGCGUGGGUGAAGAAGGCCUUCGGGUUGUAAAGCCCUUUUGUUGGGAAAGAAAAGCAGCAGGUUAAUACCCCACUGUUCUGACGGUACCCAAAGAAUAAGCACCGGCUAACUUCGUG